AAGCGCUUGUGACCAGACUUGGGCUUGGUCAAUCAUCCAGUGUUCUUCACUGGUGCACUUGGCCGGCCUAGGCCAGCAUCAGUUCGGCGCGGGGGACAAAGGCUUCGGGAAUGUGGCUCCCCCGGGAGUGUUAUAGCCCGUUGUGUAAUGCCCUGCGCCGGACUGAGGUUCGCGCAUCUGCAUGGAUGCUGGCGUAAUGGUCAUCAGCGA
rnacentral:rRNA from 2 species